CAAACGGCUUUUCGAAUACAGAAAGCCACCGCUUUUACUCUUGAAAAAUGUC
rfam:Moniliophthora roreri strain MCA 2952 kmer90.96903, whole genome shotgun sequence.